UUGAUGCAUGAAAUGUCCAAUUUGAUCACCAUAUAUUUUACUGUCCAACUUGCUUGAUGGAGGGAAUUCCUGCAGAUAAAUUAGAAUGGGUAUGUUUUGGCAAACGAACAUGAUGACCUACUUGGAGAUUUCAAAACAUAUAAACAUAUAUAUCAUAUAUGGAUUUCAAAACUUCUUCCAAUUUCAUUCAUUUUUCUGUAUGUUUCCUGUUCAAAGAGUUUCUUAGACAUAGAUUAAUGAAAGCAAGUUUACUUGGAGAUGUUGAAUGAUGAUGGG